UUUUGCAUCAAAGGGAGAUAAUUUGGAGCUUUUUCAAUGAUAUAAACAUUUUAAAAGUCAUCUGGGGUCAAACUGAAUCGAUUUUUUGGGGUGAUUUUUGUACCAUAUCAUAAAGUAAUAACUAUUAGUGUAAUAGAUAAAAUUUGUAACAAAAAACAAAUGUUUAAUUUGUUGCUGAAAUUUUUGUACCCACGAGCCUCCUUAAGGGCAUGUUCAAAUUUACUCACUACCAAAGGAAUAUUUUAUACACAACUGUUUUAAAGUAGUGUUUGUUACAUGGUCAGUUCCUUUAAGAACUCAAUCAUGUGACAUUUAUUUGGAAAAUCUUAAAAAUAACUUUGUAGAAAGAUCUGAUUAGACCUCUAAUAAAACAGUAUUAUUUACAGACUUUUAUAUAAUGUUGAGGAUGUUGUGUCAAUGUUUUAUAAAUCUUUUGCAAUAAAUUUACAUACACAUUUCUUUUUUUUUUUUUUUUUCUGCUGUUAACUGGGUCUUAAAUGGAGAAGUUUGGCAGAUUGUUGGCUGAACCAUAGUUUCUGAACCAUUUUAUCCAAUGUUUUCCAAUUUAAAAUGUUCAAUGUUGAAGAUUUAAAC
rnacentral:lncRNA from 1 species